rnacentral:lncRNA from 1 species
UGAUACCUCCUUUGUACCACCUCACACACAUGAGGUGACCACACCCAUUACAACCAACAUGUCCAGAGAUACAACCUCUCUUAUCAUAACCCAGUGCCUGGGCUUACCUCCGCUGUACCCGCACCCCACCAUACCCCUGUCUGCGCAUUAUGCCCUAAAUGUAUUCUACAAUGCCCAGAAAUCUUAACAGUCCAAUGACUGACAGCAGCCGACCACCGAGUGCUAAAGGCUCUUUUUGAUCCUCCACUCCGUCUUUCACCAGCAAGGGAACCUCUUUGGUACCAACAGGCAGCAGAUCUGACAGAAACAUCUCAGCAACUCAUCAGACAAGUCCUGUCUGAGUUCUGUGCUGCAUCCAGAUUCUCCAGGACACAGGCAUAUUCCCAGAACCUGAACAUCCAUAGGGUGUUCAGAGGUGUACAUAAAAACCUCAUGGAGGAGUUUGGCUCUUAUAACACCCUGCAAGCAGCUAUUUCCUCCCAGGACCCUGCAUUUGACAGAGUCCUGGUAAAGUCCUUGACCCAGCAGCUGGUACAAGGAUGCAAGGAGGCGUCAAGACCAGCUUCUGCUGCAACAAACCCAUCAGACCAGGCUGAGACAGAGAGGGGGGCUGAGCAGAAAGCAAGAAGGAGCUUCCUUUGCUUUUCAAUGACCAAACUCAGGAUCAACUUCAAGCGUUCCAAGAGAGGAAACAAAAAGGACUGCCAUUCAGUCCAGGAACAGACUGAAAUUCCCUCUACUGAUGCACAUUGCAUAGUUCCCGUUGGAGAGGUUUCUCCCUCCAUAUCUCAGCCUGUCAAAAAACGAUCCUUGAUUGUCAGGGUCUUUUCAGCAAUGAUGAAGCCAUUCAGGCGCUUCACCAAGAAGAACCUGUAACCUGUUACGCUGCAUGAAGAACUACUUUUGUAACAGCAAGACUUUUGACAAGAGGAAUUUCUGCAUGUCUACCCUUUCAAAGUCUAUUUGGUCAAAUAAAUGCAAAUUAUUUCACAAGAAUUUCAAGUGUUUUGGAAGAUUGGUAAUACUGAAGCAGAUUUUCUCAGAGAAAUGCACUAGUUCCUCCUUGGUUACAUAUUUAUUGUGCAGUUUUUUGAGUUGGCAGGACUUGGGGCAGCAGGUAGCCUUGUGGUUAGAGCGUUGGGCCAGUAACUGAAAGGUUGCUAGGUCA